rnacentral:rRNA from 1 species
AUUGAACGCUGGCGGCAGGCCUAACACAUGCAAGUCGAGCGGUAGAGAGGUGCUUGCAUCUCUUGAGAGCGGCGGACGGGUGAGUAAUGCCUAGGAAUCUGCCUAGUGGUGGGGGAUAACGUUCGGAAACGGACGCUAAUACCGCAUACGUCCUACGGGAGAAAGCGGGGGGAUCUUCGGACCUCGCGCCAUUAGAUGAGCCUAGGUCGGAUUAGCUAGUUGGUGAGGUAAUGGCUCACCAAGGCGACGAUCCGUAACUGGUCUGAGAGGAUGAUCAGUCACACUGGAACUGAGACACGGUCCAGACUCCUACGGGAGGCAGCAGUGGGGAAUAUUGGACAAUGGGCGAAAGCCUGAUCCAGCCAUGCCGCGUGUGUGAAGAAGGUCUUCGGAUUGUAAAGCACUUUAAGUUGGGAGGAAGGGUAGUAACCUAAUACGUUGCUACUUUGACGUUACCGACAGAAUAAGCACCGGCUAACUUCGUGCCAG